rnacentral:rRNA from 1 species
UAGGGAAUAUUGCACAAUGGGGAACCGUAGCAUGCAGCGACGCCGCGUGAAGGAAGAAGUAUCUCGGUAUGUAAACUUCUAUCAGCAGGGAAGACAAUGACGGUACCUGACUAAGAAGCCCCGGCUAACUACGUGCCAGCAGCCGCGGUAAUACGUAGGGGCAAGCGGUUAUCCGGAUUUACUGGGUGUAAAGGGAGCGCAGGCGGACCGGCAAGUUGGAAGUGAAAACCCAUGGGCUCAACCCAUGAAUUGCUUUCAAAACUGCUGGCCUUGAGUAGUGCAGAGGUAGGUGGAAUUCCCGGUGUAGCGGUGGAAUGCGUAGAUAUUAGGAGGAACACCAGUGGCGAAGGCGGCUUACUGGACGGUAACUGACGUUGAGGCUCGAAAGCGUGGGGAGCAAAUAGGAUUAGAUACCC